CUCUUUAGAACCUUUUUUAACGUAGGGUUGGUGCUUGAUUUUCAAAUUUGACACCUAACCUUUAAAAAUUAGCCAAAAUAGUAUAAAAAUUGUGAGCUUUUUCGACGUGAAAAUAAAUUAUGUUUAGACCAAUAUCCGUAAAACUGGAAACUGUCGAUGAAUACCUGCAGCAGAAUGAUUAUUCCGCUCUUGAACUUUACUUAAAGAAAGAAUUUAGGCUGGAAAAGGACGAGACAGGUGUCCCCCUAAAGAUUGAAUUUUCAACUCAAGCUGUGGAUUUGCUACAUAAAAUUUUAAAGACACUUUCUGAGCAAAGCCUAAGCAAAAAUCAUGAAGGAAUCAUAAAAGAAUUGUUUAGGAGUCUAAGGAAUUAUGUUAUAAAUUCAGACGUUCAAAAUUAUUUAGUUAAUGACGAAAAUUUUCUACCGAAUGUGUCCAAUUUUAUGAACUUACAGUCUGAAGUGAUACAAAAUGCAUUCCAAAUUAUUUUACAAUUUUUGUUUAAUUUAAUAAUAUCAAAUAAAAGUGCUGUGGAUAGAGUA